rnacentral:rRNA from 1 species
CAGCAGCCGCGGUAAUACGUAGGGUGCGAGCGUUAAUCGGAAUUACUGGGCGUAAAGCGUGCGCAGGCGGUUCGUUAAGACAGAUGUGAAAUCCCCGGGCUUAACCUGGGAACUGCAUUUGUGACUGGCGAGCUAGAGUAUGGCAGAGGGGGGCAGAAUUCCACGUGUAGCAGUGAAAUGCGUAGAGAUGUGGAGGAAUACCGAUGGCGAAGGCAGCCCCCUGGGCCAAUACUGACGCUCAUGCACGAAAGCGUGGGGAGCAAACAGGAUUAGAUACCCCGGUAGUCCCUGUCUCUUAUAC